rnacentral:rRNA from 1 species
AGAGUUUGAUCAUGGCUCAGAUUGAACGCUGGCGGCACGCCUAACACAUGCAAGUCGAGCGGUAACAUGUCAGUGCUUGCACUGAUGAUGACGAGCGGCGGACGGGUGAGGAACACGUAGGAAUCUGCCCUAAAGUGGGGGACAACCAAGGGAAACUUUGGCUAAUACCGCAUAAUCUCGAGAGAGGAAAGCUAGCUUCGGCUGGCGCUUUUGGAGGAGCCUGCGUCCGAUUAGCUUGUUGGUGGGGUAAAAGCCUACCAAGGCAUUGAUCGGUAACUGGUUUGAGAGGACGACCAGUCACACUGGGACUGAGACACGGCCCAGACUCCUACGGGAGGCAGCAGUGGGGAAUCUUGGACAAUGGGGGAAACCCUGAUCCAGCGAUGCCGCGUGAGUGAAGAAGGCUUUCGGGUCGUAAAGCUCUUUAGGUUGGGAAGAAAGUUAGUUGUUUAAGAGAUGAUUAAUUUGACGGUAC